rnacentral:rRNA from 1 species
CCCUUAGAUGUUCGGGGCCGCACGCGCGCUACACUGAAGGAAUCAGCACGUCUUUCUCCUUGUCCGAAAGGACUGGGUAACCCGCUGAACCUCCUUCGUGCUAGGGAUUGGGGCUUGUAAUUCUUCCCCAUGAACGAGGAAUUCCCAGUAAGCGCGAGUCAUAAGCUCGCGUUGAUUACGUCCCUGCCCUUUGUACACACCGUCCGUCGCUACUACCGAUUGGAUGGUUUAGUGAGAUCCUCGGAUUGGUCCCGGCGCGGCCUCUGGUCGUGCCGGAGUGCCGAAAAGAAUGUCGAACUUGAUCAUCUAGAGGAAGUAAAAGUCGUAACA